CUACGGAGGGUGCAAGCGUUAAUCGGAAUUACUGGGCGUAAAGCGCGCGUAGGCGGAUUGAUCAGUCGGAUGUGAAAGCCCCGGGCUCAACCUGGGAACUGCAUUCGAUACUGUUAAGCUAGAGUAUGGUAGAGGGAAGUGGAAUUCCAGGUGUAGCGGUGAAAUGCGUAGAUAUCUGGAGGAACAUCAGUGGCGAAGGCGACUUCCUGGACCAAUACUGACGCUGAGGUGCGAAAGCGUGGGGAGCAAACAGGAUUAGAAACCCGAGUAGUCC
rnacentral:rRNA from 1 species